rnacentral:rRNA from 1 species
UACGGGGGGGGCAAGCGUUGUUCGGAAUUACUGGGCGUAAAGGGCGCGUAGGCGGCGCAACAAGUCACUUGUGAAAUCUCCGGGCUUAACCCGGAGCGGCCAAGUGAUACUGUCGUGCUAGAGUGCGGAAGGGGCUACUGGAAUUCUCGGUGUAGCGGUGAAAUGCGUAGAUAUCGAGAGGAACACCUGCGGCGAAGGCGGGUAGCUGGGCCGUCACUGACGCUGAGGCGCGAAAGCCAGGGGAGCGAACAGG